GGCCGGUUAGCUCAGUUGGUUAGAGCGUGGUGCUAAUAACGCCAAGGUCGCGGGUUCGACUUCGUGCACGGGCCA